rnacentral:lncRNA from 1 species
CCUAUAAAACUCAUUAUUCCAUCCACAUCAACCUCACAAUAUUAAGGAAAAUUUCAAAGCACUCGAGCAAAAAAAUGGUUUCACCAUCAACUCUUGCCGUCCCAGAAACCUUUAAUGACCUUGACUGAGAUUUUUUUAUAACAACAAACUUUUUGUUAGGUGGAUUCAUUGUUGGGAAACCCGCAACUUCCAAAAGCCGAACUUAUUCAUGGGAAUUGAAUUGCUUUUCAUAGACUCAAAGGUAUUCUUACAAAUUUAAAUUAAUCUAAUCCAUAAUUUUAUUGUUAAU